UACGUAGGGGGCGAGCGUUGUUCGGAUUUACUGGGCGUAAAGGGCGCGUAGGCGGUCAGCACAAGUCAGUUGUGAAAUCUCCGGGCUUAACUCGGAAAGGUCAACUGAUACUGUGCGACUAGAGUGCAGAAGGGGCAACUGGAAUUCUCGGUGUAGCGGUGAAAUGCGUAGAUAUCGAGAGGAACACCUGCGGCGAAGGCGGCCUUCUGGACGAUGACUGACGCUGAGACGCGAAAGCGUGGGGAGCAAACAGG
rnacentral:rRNA from 1 species